AGCACCACAAGGGGUGAAGCUGCGGUUUAAUUGGACUCAACGCCGGGAAGCUUACCGGGGGCGACAGCUGGAUGAAAGCCAGGCUGAUGACCUUGCUGGACUAGCUGAGAGGAGGUGCAUGGCCGUCGCCAGUUCGUGCCGUGAGGUGUCCUGUUAAGUCAGGCAACGAACGAGACCCCUGCGCCUAGUUGCCAGCGGAUCCCUGCGGGGAUGCCGGGCACACUAUGCGGACCGCAGCCGAUAAGGCUGAGGAAGGAGGGGGCCACGGCAGGUCAGUAUGCCCCGAAUCCCCCGGGCUACACGCGGGCUGCAAUGACGGGUACAAUAGGUUUCGACUCCGAGAGGAGGAGGUAAUCCUCAAAACCCGUCGCAGUUGGAAUCGAGCGCUGUAACUCGCGCUCGUGAACAUGGAAUCCCUAGUAACCGCGUGUCAUCAAUGUAGUGCGGAAAACUCCCACUACAGUGGAAUCGCGCGGUGAAUACGUCCCUGCUCCUUGCACACACCGCCCGUCGCUCCAUCCGAGUGAGCUCUAGACGAGGCGUGUCCCCUAGGGUCAUGUCGAAUCUGGGGUUCGCAAGGAGGGAG
rnacentral:rRNA from 1 species